UACGGAGGAUGCAAGCGUUAUCCGGAUUUAUUAGGUUUAAAGGGUGUGUAGGCGGAAUAUUAAGUCAGUGGUGAAAUCCUACAGCUUAACUGUAGAACUGCCAUAGAUACUGAUGUUCUUGAAUGCAGUUGAGGUAGGCGGAAUGUGUAAUGUAGCGGUGAAAUGCUUAGAUAUUACACAGAACACCGAUUGCGAAGGCAGCUUGCUAAACUGUGAUUGACGCUGAUACACGAAAGCGUGGGGAGCAAACAGG
rnacentral:rRNA from 1 species